AGAGUUUGAUCAUGGCUCAGAUUGAACGCUGGCGGCAGGCCUAACACAUGCAAGUCGAACGGUAACAGGAAACAGCUUGCUGUUUCGCUGACGAGUGGCGGACGGGUGAGUAAUGUCUGGGAAACUGCCUGAUGGAGGGGGAUAACUACUGGAAACGGUAGCUAAUACCGCAUAACGUCGCAAGACCAAAGAGGGGGACCUUCGGGCCUCUUGCCAUCAGAUGUGCCCAGAUGGGAUUAGCUAGUAGGUGGGGUAACGGCUCACCUAGGCGACGAUCCCUAGCUGGUCUGAGAGGAUGACCAGCCACACUGGAACUGAGACACGGUCCAGACUCCUACGGGAGGCAGCAGUGGGGAAUAUUGCACAAUGGGCGCAAGCCUGAUGCAGCCAUGCCGCGUGUAUGAAGAAGGCCUUCGGGUUGUAAAGUACUUUCAGCGGGGAGGAAGGGAGUAAAGUUAAUACCUUUGCUCAUUGACGUUACCCGCAGAAGAAGCACCGGCUAACUCCGUGCCAGCAGCCGCGGUAAUACGGAGGGUGCAAGCGUUAAUCGGAAUUACUGGGCGUAAAGCGCACGCAGGCGGUUUGUUAAGUCAGAUGUGAAAUCCCCGGGCUCAACCUGGGAACUGCAUCUGAUACUGGCAAGCUUGAGUCUCGUAGAGGGGGGUAGAAUUCCAGGUGUAGCGGUGAAAUGCGUAGAGAUCUGGAGGAAUACCGGUGGCGAAGGCGGCCCCCUGGACGAAGACUGACGCUCAGGUGCGAAAGCGUGGGGAGCAUACAGGAUUAGAUACCCUGGUAGUCCACGCCGUAAACGAUGUCGACUUGGAGGUUGUGCCCUUGAGGCGUGGCUUCCGGAGCUAACGCGUUAAGUCGACCGCCUGGGGAGUACGGCCGCAAGGUUAAAACUCAAAUGAAUUGACGGGGGCCCGCACAAGCGGUGGAGCAUGUGGUUUAAUUCGAUGCAACGCGAAGAACCUUACCUGGUCUUGACAUCCACGGAAGUUUUCAGAGAUGAGAAUGUGCCUUCGGGAACCGUGAGACAGGUGCUGCAUGGCUGUCGUCAGCUCGUGUUGUGAAAUGUUGGGUUAAGUCCCGCAACGAGCGCAACCCUUAUCCUUUGUUGCCAGCGGUCCGGCCGGGAACUCAAAGGAGACUGCCAGUGAUAAACUGGAGGAAGGUGGGGAUGACGUCAAGUCAUCAUGGCCCUUACGACCAGGUCUACACACGUGCUACAAUGGCGCAUACAAAGAGAAGCGACCUCGCGAGAGCAAGCGGACCUCAUAAAGUGCGUCGUAGUCCGGAUUGGAGUCUGCAACUCGACUCCAUGAAGUCGGAAUCGCUAGUAAUCGUGGACCAGAAUGGCACGGUGAAUACGUUCCCGGGCCUUGUACACACCGCCCGUCACACCAUGGGAGUGGGUUGCAAAAGAAGUAGGUAGCUUAACCUUCGGGAGGGCGCUUACCACUUUGUGAUUCAUGACUGGGGUGAAGUCGGAACAAGGUAACCGUAGGGGAACCUGCGGUUG
rnacentral:rRNA from 1 species